UCGGGGGGGGGUCCCGGGGGUGACGCCCCCUCCCCAAAUUUCCCAGAGCGCCCCCCGAGACCCCCCCGGACCCUCUGCACAAGACCCCCCCCAAAAAGAAAAGCAUCAAAUCCUCCAUCGGCCGCCUCUUCGGCAAGAAGGAGAAAGGGCGGCUGGGACCCCCCCCAAGGGACCCCGCGCUGGCCGGGACCCCCUCGGACGAGCCGGGCCCCCCCGAGGCGCUCGGCCUGAGCAAACUGCCGGGGGGGGUGGAGAAGGACCGGAGGAGCCGCAAAAAGCACGAGCUGCUGGAGGAGGCGUGCCGCCAGGGACUGCCCUUCGCCGCCUGGGACGGCCCCACCGUGGUGUCCUGGCUCGAGGUGAAUUUGGGGGGAAAACGCCCGAAUUUGGGAAAAAAACAAAAUUUGGGGAAAAAACUCCCAAAAUUUGGGGAAAAAUGCAGAAAUUUAGGAAUAAAACAAAAAAAUUUGGGGAAAAUAUCCCAAAAUUUGGGAAAAAAGAUCUGAAAUUUGAGAAAAAACCCCAAAAUUUAGGGGAAAAAAAAUCUGAAAUUUGGGAAAAGAACCCCCAAAAUUUGGAAAAAUAAACCCCAAAAUUUUGGGGAAAAAACCCCAAAAUUUGGGAAAACAAUGGAGAAAAUAAGGAAAAAACCCCAAAAAUGUGGGAAAAAAACACAGAAAUUUGGGGGAAAAACCCGAAAUUUGGGAAAAUAAUUUGAAAUCUGGGGGAAAAAAAACCCCAAAAAUUGGGAAAAAAACCGCAAAAUUUGGGAAAACAAUGCAGAAAUUUGGGGGGAAAAGAGCGGAAUUUGGGGAAAAAACCCCCAAAAUUUGGGAAAAAAAGUCUAAAAUUUGGGAAGAAAAACCCAAAAUUCGGGGAAAAAAAUCCCAAAAUUUGGGAAAAAAAAUCCGUAAAAUUGGGGGGGGGGAAAAAGAGAAUUUUGGGGCAAUCCGGGAGAUUUUGGGGUUUUUGGGGGGUUUUUCGGCCUCGGGGC
rnacentral:lncRNA from 1 species